UUCCCACGUUGGGAAUCAAUCCUGGGCAUUCAUGGAUAAGAGCCAAAUAUCUUAGCCACUAGACCAUGUGGGA